rnacentral:rRNA from 1 species
CUACACGGGUUUCUAAUCCCGUUUGCUCCCCUGGCCUUCGUGCCUCAGCGUCAGUAACUGUCCAGGAACUCGCCUUCGCCACUGGCCUUCCUUACGAUCUCUACGCAUUUCACUGCUACACCGUAAAUUCCAGUUCCCUCUCCAGUACUCAAGCAAGGCAGUAUCCAAUGCAGUUCCGGGGUUGAGCCCCGGGAUUUCACAUCAGACUUGCCCCGCCGCCUACGCACCCUUUACGCCCAAUGAAUCCGAACAACGCUCGGGACCUCUGUAUUACCGCGGCUGCUGGCAC